CGGUUGCAGAGUUUGCUGGAAAUUUGCACAAUUUUUUUACUUCGUGCAGUAAAAUCAGUAAAAGUUCAUGAAAUGCCAAAGCAACCAAAAGGAUUCACCCC
rnacentral:ribozyme from 1 species